ensembl:snRNA U6 U6 spliceosomal RNA
GUGUUCACUUUGGCAGCACAUAUACUAAAAUUGGAACAAUAUAGAGAAGAAUAGCAUGGCCCCUGCACAAAGGAUAACACACAAGAUCAUGAAGCAUUCCAUAAUAAU